AUGAGGUCAUAUCCGAAGGUACCAUUGUCCUGAAUAGCGAAUGAGAUGUAGCAGCCUUUUAUCCACAAGAGAUGUCUCACUGUUUGCCCUGGCUGGCCUUGAACUCUUGGGCACAAGCUAUUCUCCUACCUCAGCCUCCAGAGUAAGAGGAACAACAGGCCCAAGCCACUCCACCUGGCUGUAGUUGUAUAUUUCUAUCAGGAGAUUGCACUCAACUUCCAGGAAGAUGGCAGUGUGUGGUGAGCAGCAGAAAGAGCUUCUCGGAGAUUUGUUGUCCUGUUGAUAUAGAGGACAGCCCUGUCUAACUGCCUACAAGACAUCUAAGUAGCUUACCUAUCUACAAUACUGACACUGGAAUAUAGCAGCGUGAGGAGGAGGAGGAGGGAAGUGGGUGUCCCUGGGACUCAAGAAGGAUCUAAGGCGAGAAUUGAAGUCUACAGGAAGAGUGAAGAGAGAGACUUUAACGAAGAGGAGGGAGAUACCAAGCAGUGCUCUCUCACAGAGCCCAGACUCUCAGUGAGGGAACAGCAGAGUGAACCUCCAGACACAUGGUGACUGCUGGCAACCCCAUAGGCCUCCACAGAGAAAUGCACCAGUGGACCAGAGCAGUGGAUACACCAGAUUGCAGCAGCUGGUGAGUUAUCCAGGUUCAGACCUCUACCAGGAGGAGGGGGUGAUUGGCUGGUAGCUGUCAUGGAGAAGGGCCAGUUGAGUUUGGAACUCAGAACAGCUGUUGGCAGACUCCAUCUAGUGGCUCCCAGUGCCUCAGUGUGGGUGCUGAGUUCAAGUCAGCAGGAGGUCAGGGAGAGGAGUUCAAGAUGACAGGAGACACAUAGACUGUUUAGGCUCAAGGAAUCUGGUCCCAGCCUCAUAGCCAGAAAACUGGCCUGAACUUCAGAGGAACUAAAGGGGCAGGCUGGCCGGGCUUAUCCACUACCCCACCACGAAGCUGCAGCUAGCUUGCUGGGAUUAAUCAAUUUGGCUCUAGACUCUGUUUGCCCACAUUGCCUAAAAGUCACAGGAGAGAUAUACCUUGAAUUGGAUGUUUUGGGGUUUUUUUUCUUUUUUCUUUUUCUUUUUUUCCCCCCUCCUUUCUAGUUCUUAUUUUGUUUUGUUUUGUUUUUCUUGUUUCAACACAGUUUCUAGUUUGUUGUUGUUGUUGUUCUGUUCUUGUUUUAAUUUUUCCUUCUCUUUUUCCCACCUGUCCGCUUCACCAGUUUACUAAAGUUUGUCCUCCACCCCGGCUUCUGAUCUCUUCCUUUUCUUCUAUUUCUGUUUUUUAUCCCCCUAACCCCUUUUUUUUCUUUCUUUUUAAAAAUUCUUUUCUUCUCUUUUUUCCCCCUAACACCUUUUAAAUCUUCUCCCCUAAGGGUAAAAUUGCCAUAUUAAGGGCCACAGUUUGCCAUUUUCUAGGUUGUAUUUGAUGCUAUUGUUAUUGUUAAUUGUACUACAUUAGCCAAAGUGAUACAAUUGUGCUAAUCAGUUGUUCUUCCUGGUAUACCAAGACUGAGAUUGCCUAAGGGUCUUAAAAAAAUAAAUAAAAACCUCUAGGCCAGUGCCAGAGAACUGGCUGCUGGGCCAAGUAGGCAGAAACUUCUCACCCCCAAUAAUCUGAAGAGGCAGGAUCCUGCAACAGACUCAAAAUCCAAAAGCCAGCUACACCUGGAAGACACUUCUGAGAAGUAGCGAUUUCUAAGGGUUCUGAAUACUGGCAGUAAAGCUACUCUCCAUAAGCAGUUUACAAGCAUCAACUCAGGAAUCAAGUUUUAAAAAGAAGUAGAAAGUGAGAAGACACUUAAACAAGAUGUAGCCCCUACAGACUUUCAGUUCACUAAAGGUGAACCCCAGGGGGAAUGAGGUGGAACAACCUGAAACCCACCCACUUGGACUCUCUGAAGAGGUAACAGGAGAAGUAACAAAGAAGAUAAACAAAGGCUCUAGAAAAAACCAAAGCAAUAAUCAAAGAAAUAAUUUCCCAGAUAACCUCAGAGAUGGUGGGCCGAAUGAAAGACAUGCUUAGUGACUCUAGAGCAGAUAA